GAUGAACGCUGGCGGCGUGCUUAACACAUGCAAGUCGAACGAUGAUCCCCAGCUUGCUGGGGGGAUUAGUGGCGAACGGGUGAGUAACACGUGAGUAACCUGCCCUUAACUCUGGGAUAAGCCUGGGAAACUGGGUCUAAUACCGGAUAUGACUGAUCAUCGCAUGGUGGUUGGUGGAGAGCUUUUUGUGGUUUUGGAUGGACUCGCGGCCUAUCAGCUUGUUGGUGAGGUAAUGGCUCACCAAGGCGACGACGGGUAGCCGGCCUGAGAGGGUGACCGGCCACACUGGGACUGAGACACGGACCAGACUCCUACGGGAGGCAGCAGUGGGGAAUAUUGCACAAUGGGCGAAAGCCUGAUGCAGCGACGCCGCGUGAGGGAUGACGGCCUUCGGGUUGUAAACCUCUUUCAGUAGGGAAGAAGCGAAAGUGACGGUACCUGCAGAAGAAGCACCGGCUAACUACGUGCCAGCCGCCGCAGUAACAC
rnacentral:rRNA from 1 species